CCUUAAACGAAGCUGAAUGCUUCGGUCAGAGUCCACACGAAUUACUUGGUUAGCGAAUAAAGAGAGCAAUUGGGUCUUUCAGGCCCGACUUGGCUUGUUAUUGCAACAAGCAAAACCGGGUCUGUAGCUCAGGUGGUUAGAGCGCACCCCUGAUAAGGGUGAGGUCGGUGGUUCAAGUCCACCCAGACCCACCAAAAUCGCUCAGCUCAGCGUUAUCGAAUGACUUGCGUAGCAGGCUACGCGGCGCCAUCCGAUGCCUCGAUCUGAACGAUUUAGUUUUACUCACAUAGAGUGAAACGAAAAUAGCUUAAAUGGGGCUAUAGCUCAGCUGGGAGAGCGCCUGCCUUGCACGCAGGAGGUCGGCAGUUCGAUCCUGCCUAGCUCCACCAAAAUUUUACUGACUAACUUCGGUUAGCAGUGUACAGAAACAAGUGUUUCGAUCUAAUGACAACGGUCAUUCGUCGAAGUCCUUCUUUCUGAUCACUGGGUCAGAUUUGCUCUUUAACAAAUUGGACGAGAUAGAACACGAAUAUUCUUCUCUCAUUAUCUCCGAGAGAAAAUAUUCAAAGUGAUAACGAUUUCAAGCGUUAUCCGGUGUUGUCGUUGAAGUGGUUGUUAUAUCGCUUCAAGUGACUGUCUCUUUUUAACUUGCAUCAGGCUUGCCUGGUUCAAGUCUGAAUCGAGCACAGUUGUCUUGGGGUUAUAU
rnacentral:misc_RNA from 1 species